CGUUGAUAUGAUGAUAAAAUUUCUCGGAAAUAAAAAAAAUUUAAUGUGUCGACACGAAAAAUCAGACUACAAUUAUCUGAUCAGCG
rnacentral:snoRNA from 1 species